ensembl:lncRNA
UGUGUGUGUGUGUGUGUUUGUGUGUCACUCUGUUCGAGCCUGAGGGGUAUUCCACAUAGCCGGUUUUAUCACAUAACCGGCGGAGUUGCAAAUCUUAAUGACUGCAUAUGCAGAAAGCGUGCAUAUCUUUUUACUAAAAAGCAAUACUAUGGCAGCAGCCAAAAAGCGGGAGCUCGCGUGGGAAAAAAUAGCUGACCGAGUUAAUGCGUGAGUAUUUAUUUGAGAUUUAUUUGAGAAGUUUUCUCUUGAAUGUUCCACUUAUUCAACAAUUAUAUUCCAUAUGUGUGUUUGUGCGCACAGGUACAACCCAACAGGCCCCAAACUGACUUGGCA